GGUAGGGUGGGUGAGUGGUUAAAACCAGGAGACUGUAAAUCUCCCGCCUUCGGGCUUCGUGUGUUCGAAACACACCCCUACCACCA
rnacentral:tRNA from 2 species